CAUGUUCCUCACUGUACCACAGUUCUGCUGUUGACCUUUGUGCACAUCCCAGCAGAGGUGGCCAACUGCAGCAGGAGCACUCCUUCAGUUUUUUGCUUGUUAGGGACAAUCCAGAGACCUGCAUCUUCGAGGGAAAAAGCAGAAGUGGUGCUGGAGGUUGCAGGCACCCGGGGAUCUCCUGGGCAGAGCACUCUGCAAUCCUACUGCAAAAGAGCUUCUCCCCAGCCUGUGCUAGUGAGACAAGUGCCUCAGUUUAGCAACACGGGUCUAAUUCCCAGGAAUCUGAGCCAUAGAGGACAUCCAGUGUCUUGGACCUGGGUCACAAUGCAAUUAAAUCUGUCAGCCAAGUGCCAGUUACAGAAAGAAUAAUCACCCUGAUGGAGACCUUCACCUCAAGUAAAGGACCCAGCCUUGCAAAGACAGCAACUGCCACUGAAAUCAAUGGAUCCAGAAUAGAAGAUGAAGACCAGAAGCAAGAGUGCAAGGAAGCUUCUCACACACACGAGGCAGAAAUGCAUUUCUCUAAGUGUAGAAACACAUGAGCAAAGGCAAUACUUCUGCUGCAAUUGCUGCUCUGCUUCCAGGGCUGAGACCAUGCAUUAACAAAGGCCUGCCAGGAGAUUGCUGAGACCCUGAGAGCACUACCCCCAUUCUACGGCUUUAAAGGACAGUUGGCUGUGUUCAAGGUCAGCUUGGCCAUUGAUAAGAGCCGUUGCAAACAAAAGAAGUCUCUGCCCAGGCCUGCCCCUCUCUCUCUCAAGAGCUGCUUUGAUGCCAAGGGUGACCCCUUGCCCCCAGCUGAGUCAGACUGCACUGCAGCUGUGUCUGAUACCUCCUCAGCCCAGGCCUGAUCCUCACCUCGUGGCUUCACCUUAGGCCUGAUUUAUCACUCCAAAUAUCCCUAAGCUGAGCAUGACCCUGAUCAAUAAGGCGGCGAACAAGUGGAUCAGCUAAAAAAUCCAUGUGCUUCUCCUUACACAGGAAAGAUUCUGCAGCUAUGAUUUACAAGGAUUAAGACUUCUCCU